rnacentral:rRNA from 1 species
AGAGUUUGAUCCUGGCUCAGAUUGAACGCUGGCGGCAUGCCUUACACAUGCAAGUCGAACGGCAGCACGAGAGCUUGCUCUUGGUGGCGAGUGGCGAACGGGUGAGUAAUAUAUCGGAACGUACCCUAGAGUGGGGGAUAACGUAGCGAAAGUUACGCUAAUACCGCAUACGAUCUACGGAUGAAAGUGGGGGAUCGCAAGACCUCAUGCUCAUGGAGCGGCCGAUAUCUGAUUAGCUAGUUGGUGGGGUAAAAGCUCACCAAGGCGACGAUCAGUAGCUGGUCUGAGAGGACGACCAGCCACACUGGAACUGAGACACGGUCCAGACUCCUACGGGAGGCAGCAGUGGGGAAUUUUGGACAAUGGGCGCAAGCCUGAUCCAGCAAUGCCGCGUGAGUGAAGAAGGCCUUCGGGUUGUAAAGCUCUUUUGUCAGGGAAGAAACGGUGGACUCUAAUACAGAUCACUAAUGACGGUACCUGAAGAAUAAGCACCGGCUAACUACGUGCCAGCAGCCGCGGUAAUACGUAGGGUGCAAGCGUUAAUCGGAAUUACUGGGCGUAAAGCGUGCGCAGGCGGUAGUGCAAGACAGAUGUGAAAUCCCCGGGCUCAACCUGGGAAUUGCAUUUGUGACUGCACGGCUAGAGUGUGUCAGAGGGGGGUAGAAUUCCACGUGUAGCAGUGAAAUGCGUAGAGAUGUGGAGGAAUACCGAUGGCGAAGGCAGCCCCCUGGGAUAACACUGACGCUCAUGCACGAAAGCGUGGGGAGCAAACAGGAUUAGAUACCCUGGUAGUCCACGCCCUAAACGAUGUCUACUAGUUGUCGGGUCUUAAUUGACUUGGUAACGCAGCUAACGCGUGAAGUAGACCGCCUGGGGAGUACGGUCGCAAGAUUAAAACUCAAAGGAAUUGACGGGGACCCGCACAAGCGGUGGAUGAUGUGGAUUAAUUCGAUGCAACGCGAAAAACCUUACCUACCCUUGACAUGUCUGGAAUCCUUGAGAGAUCAGGGAGUGCUCGAAAGAGAAUCAGAACACAGGUGCUGCAUGGCUGUCGUCAGCUCGUGUCGUGAGAUGUUGGGUUAAGUCCCGCAACGAGCGCAACCCUUGUCAUUAGUUGCUACGAAAGGGCACUCUAAUGAGACUGCCGGUGACAAACCGGAGGAAGGUGGGGAUGACGUCAAGUCCUCAUGGCCCUUAUGGGUAGGGCUUCACACGUCAUACAAUGGUACAUACAGAGGGCCGCCAACCCGCGAGGGGGAGCUAAUCCCAGAAAGUGUAUCGUAGUCCGGAUUGUAGUCUGCAACUCGACUACAUGAAGUUGGAAUCGCUAGUAAUCGCGGAUCAGCAUGUCGCGGUGAAUACGUUCCCGGGUCUUGUACACACCGCCCGUCACACCAUGGGAGCGGGUUUCACCAGAAGUGGGUAGCCUAACCGCAAGGAGGGCGCUCACCACGGUGGGAUUCGUGACUGGGGUGAAGUCGUAACAAGGUA